UGUAUAGAACAAUAUUUACAGGAAUGGUUAUUCUAAUGAUAGGAAAAACUGUUUCUAAUUUCAGUAGAUAGAUUCCUCAAUUUUUUAAGUGAUAUAAUGUAACAAACAAGCAAUUCAUUGUCAGAUUCAACUUAUUAGGAAUGUCUUGGAUUUGCAUUUUAUUUCUUAAUAAUACACUGGAAAAAUGAGUGGGCCAAAAACUAGUUUACUUUAUAUGUUAAAUUUCUGCAUUAGAAUUGAUAAAAGCUGAACAGCUGUUGCCAUUAGCUACAAAUUUUGAACUAAUAUAUAGCUUAUAAUGGUACAAUAAACAAUAGUAAACAAAUAUCCUUCAGAAUUUAGGUGCUGAAGAAAGGUUGGAAAUAAUUUUGUUCAUCCCCAGUAAUGUCGUUCCUCAUGUCAGUUUGUUCCUGCUUAACAUAGGAAAAACAAUCUUCAAAUAUUUAGGAUUGUUUUUUUACAUGAUAGAAAUUAUUAAAUAAGCUGUUUGCAUUGUUUUUUAUACCUCCCCUUCAACCAUGAGCAACAAUUUUCAUCUGAAUACUCCUGUGGGGCAAAUUGGGAUCAAUUUUGCAAUAAAAGUUCCAGAUAAACUUAACAAAUAUAAGAAUAUGUAUGAUAUAGGCAGACAGGUAUUUAAAAUCCACAGAUACCUCCUUUAAUGGCCAAGCCUCCUUUACUAACUCCAAAUUGUAAUUUUGUCAUAGGUCUAUGUUAAAUGAAAUUUCUUUGGGUCAGGUGGAACUGCCGUAAGUCUUCAUGUUACAGCUAAUGAUAAAAAAAUUCAACAACUCCACAUAUGUGGUUCAAGGGUGAUUAUAAUUUUAAAUCAGAAUCAUAAUUUCUGGUACAGAUUUUCAGCAAUGUAAACAUCCCCUGAAGUCAAUAAAUCCAUGUUAAUUUGCAUGAGUUAGGGAUUUAUUCUUCCCUUCCUUUCCUUCAUACACUUGAAUCGAGAUGUUUCAAUAAGUUUGGGAUAGAAUCUUAUCUGAGCAUAAGAAGCUUCAAGAUCAAAACCACCUGUGUUAAUAAUGGAUGUCAAAUACUGUUGUCCAAGACACAUCCAACAUUCUAAUUGGCUAUAUUGCAAAGCUGGCCUGAGGUGGGAAGUAUAGAUACAUCCCAAAUUACAGAUGCUGGAAACCAGCACCAUUGCCAAAUGACACUUGUUCCUUUUUCUUACACACGGGAAGAAAACUAUGGAAUCUUUGCAUUUCUUUGGAUAGCUAUUUUAUGUUGUUUGUGAAUGCAGCAGCAAUAAACCCACCUCAUAAUGAAAUAAUGACUUAUAAACUUGUAAACUUAUAAACACUAUUGGGGAGAAAAAAGCCCUAUGUUUUUCAACAACCUUGAGGAGCAGAUUAAUUUUUAGUAUAAAACUAUAAAUUCCAAUCUCUGUAACCAAUUGUCAGAAAGCCGAUAGAUUGCCUCUCCCCUGGGAAUAUUCCAUGGCAGUACCUAGGAAGUCCUCUCCUGAGGGCUUGUCUCUUUUAAAGUUUUUUGGUGAACAGGGGCAUCUGAUGCCUCCAGAAUGUCUGUUCUGAUAUCCCCCUUAGGGUUCCUCUUUGAUCCAAUUCUUUGUGUAGAUCUUUAGGUUUUUCAUUUUGGGGACACUAGCUCAUGUGAAUCUCAGACUCUUAAAAUGUCUAACCCUCAGAGUAUGUGUCUCUAUCUUAAAGCAACUCCCAUCAUUGUUGAAACUUCAGAAAUUGUGCCAAGAAAAGCCAUCUUUUUUUGUAAACUUAAAAAGUAGAGCUGUCCCAUGUGGGUUCAUAUUCCUCCCCACAUUUACAUGAGGGUACAGCUCACAUCCGCUACCUAAUUAAACCUCUGUUCUGCCUGCUUUAUUCUGAGGCUAUCAGCUUCUGUGGAAUAAAAAUAUGCCUAAAAUCCCGUCUGUCCCAGGCAUGUAGCACUUAGUGCACACCUUUCCUGGCAAGCAGCAUUGACCUUCCCCACAGAAUGGCUAUUUGUUGUUAUUUUUGUAGUAGCAAAAGUAUUCUAGAUGCUAAUGAAGGUCUUAUAUUUAGUAAGUGCACUGUUAUGUGAUGGCUGUGAAGCUGUCAGCAGUGCUGUUAAAGAGCACAAGCCUAACACAAAGGUGCACUGCACUGAGAAUGGAGGGGUUUAUGUUAUAUAGAAGGCAAGUAUAUUUAAUGAGUUUAUUUUGGUUAGCCUUUGGUUUAGUUUCAGGUCUGCCAAUACUGACAUCAUUUUUCCAAGCAGGGAGCACCAUCUAAGACUUCUCUGCAUCACUAUCCUUGGGGUGGGCCUGUGUGUGGGCUGAUGCAGUGCUCAGCACUCCAGAUCAUUUCACUUUGGCAACCAUUCUGCUUCUGCUGUCUCUAUCUCUAUAGUCUAUUUUAGGGGCUUACGGAGCACCAAUCCACCCAACUAAAAUAUAACUGAAACAAGAUAUUCAGCAUUAAAUAAGCAAAAUGUAAAAGACUCAAAAUAGGCUAUUUUUGUUAUUAUUAUUAUUAUGGGGUUAAAUGACUUAAACAUAGAUAUCUUCCUACUCCUCCUCCCACAUCUUUCUUUAGUUUGUCUCCUCUUGUUCACUUAGGAUGCACCGAUGGCCCACAGGCUUGUGCAAAAAAAGAAUGAACUCUGUUCUGUGAUGCGUCCAUGGGUGCCACAUAGUCAUCUAGCUAAAUUCUUUAAACAAAAAUGUUAUUGCUAGAAUUUUGUCUGUCCUGAGAUCCUUGCAGUAAACCCUUAGCAACCAGAGGGGGCAGGGAGCAUCCUUUAGGGUGGUCUCACAUGGCCGAAUUAUGCUGGCAUGAAAACACAGCUACGCCUGAACCUGCACUUUAGAGUGAAGUGGAUUUAUUACGCGGUCUGCAGGUGGAUUUUUAAGCAGGUACACCAAUGGUAGGUGUUUGGAAGGAUAUAGGGGAAUAACUGACCAUAUGCUGGGGACUUCAGCUUGCCACAGAGGAUCCAAGCUAUUUGCUAAGACACAGGCUUCCCUCACGCCCUGCCCCUCGCACCUCUCUCCGGAGCCGCUCAGCACUGCGGCUCCUACCGCCGCUCCCGAAGGCGCUGUGGCGGCAUCCGCAAUUAACCGAGAGCCACUGCAGGGCUCUCAGCUGUGCCUCUCGCAGAUGCCAUUUGCCAGCUUGGCACAGGCAGCUCUGCAGCUCCUCUGCAGGCACUCUGGGGUUCGCCUCAACCGAGGCUUUGGCUCGGCUCUGGUGAUUCUCCCGCUCUCCGCGCAGGAACUGCCGAUGGCGAUUAACGUUAAACCCACCAGCAAGGGCCCGGGCGACACAGCACAAACCGCUUCGCUUCCCCGGAGCCUACUGUGGCCUCCCGAGGGACCCUGUUUUCCCCCUGCCUUUCCCGCAGGCAACGCGGCCGCAGCGGGAGGGCUCUGUGCUGGACUCGGCGGCCAUUCGCUGCCCGGGGGAUGGCGGCUGCCAUAUAGGUCCUGCAGCGCCAGCGAAGGGGAGGCGGCGCUGGAGCGGCCGCUCCGAUCCUCGCUCCCUCCGUCCGUCGGCGGGCAGCUCCCGCCAGCGAGCCGCUGGCCGGCGGCGGGACCUAUAUGCUCUCGCGGAAGGUUACCACUGCCUUGCACGGAGGCUGCCGACGGAAGCGGUGCUGAGGCUUCUGAGGCAGCACUUUGUCAAGGAGCGCCUGAUUGGCUAACGGGACUCUGCAAUGGUUAUCUGGUCUGCCAUCUUAUGGAGCCUGAAUGGUACUGCCAAAUUACAGAAUGUGGAGCUACAUGAUCAUAUUAGGUGAAUAGUUUGAAUUUUUCCUUUACAGGUGAAAAGGAUUCUUCAGGAAGACCUUAUUACUUUGCUUUUGAAAAGUUUGAGGUCAGUUAGGAAAGCAGUUGAUCUAAGUGGUUGUGGUACAUCAGAUACUGUAGUGGAAUACUUAAGCAGAUUGUCCAGCAUUCAGUGAAGCUUUGCAGAGUUUUACCAGCUGCUGGAAAAUCUAGUAGUACAGGCAUCCUCCUGUAGCUGACACACCCACCCACAGAAGAACAUUUAUUGUGCUGGGAACCAGGGGCUGUUAAAGAGACGGUUUCUUUAUGGAAAGCCCUACAGACAACAGCUGUGUGCCAUAUCCUGUCUGUUUUCUUAAACCUGGGCUGUUAUACAGUGAGCUUUUUCUAUAGUCGCUCCAAUUGUUUGACUUAAUUCUAUCACAGGUUUUAUGGCAGGGGGUUAUGGCUCUGAGCCUUCUUUCAUUGUGGUUCUGGUUUGAUCAGUCUCAUCAUGUGAUUAUUUCCCUGAAUAUAAACUUUAACUUGUUUGUUAUCCAUCCUAGCAUACAUUCCAUGACAACAAAACAGACUGAUACAGAGCAGAGGCCCUCAAGAUUAAUCCAUUGGAUAGGUGCAGGCGUUUGGUGCAACUGGAAGCAUCAAACUUCUGUCCCCAGACUGAUGUGCUGGAUGUGCCAGAAGAUACAUGCUUCCACACCAGCCCUCUUAUGCCACUUGUCUACCUGUGUCCAUGCAUCAUAUACUGAGGUCCCAUGUUUUAACUUGCUUCCCUCAUCUCCAGAAGAAGCAGCUGGUUUCAUUUCCUCAUAUGGCUACACUCCACCCAUGUCACGUUUCUGAACUUGUCUUGGUCCCAUAGUAUUGGAAAGGUGGCUCUUAGCUAGGUUUCUACAGUGACGGUGCAGAGGCAAGAGCUGCUAACCUGGACAGCAGCAAAACACUGUCCAUCAGCUGGCUGGUCUUAGCUGCUGGUCAUACACAGCUCCAGGGGUGGAAGAGCUUCCAGGCUCCAGAAACUGCUCUGUGCCAAAGCAUACUGGAGAUACAGGAAGACUUCACAGUAUAAAUGCUCCAAAACAGCAGGGAGAUCACAGGAAGCUCACAGGUUGCUAUAUAGAAAAUACUGUUCUGCAUCCGACUGGAUUUCACUUUGGGUCAGUAUCUUCCUACAUCUAUGGCAAGCAAUAGAAGCCUGUACAGAUGACUGCAAACCAGAACCCUCAGACCUUGGAUUUGUACGUUUGUGCUGAUUUCUUGCUUAAGGGAGCUCAGUUCAACAUGCUGUACUGCCAGAUCCAUCCCUGCAGUAAUUCUCUUGGCUUCACUGGAUGGCCACAUGGGAUUGCCUGUGCUAUCUGGCUAAGAGAAGAGAUUCUGUACAAUUCCAAAGGGAUCUGCUUGACAAUAUUAAAAAAUGAAGUCUGAAAAGCAUGCUAACUGUGUUGGGCUUUGGACAGUUCAACUGUUUUGUUCAAAGUAGAGGCCAUGAGAGCCACUUUCCAUUCAGAGAUCACAAGAAACAAUUAAAACUUUGAUUUACGUAGUGA